UACGUAGGGGGCAAGCGUUGUCCGGAAUCAUUGGGCGUAAAGCGCGUGUAGGCGGCUCGGUAAGUCUGCUGUGAAAGUCCAGGGCUCAACCCUGGAAAGCCGGUGGAAACUGUCGAGCUAGAGUCCGGAAGAGGCGAGUGGAAUUCCUGGUGUAGCGGUGAAAUGCGCAGAUAUCAGGAGGAACACCAAUGGCGAAGGCAGCUCGCUGGGACGGUACUGACGCUGAGACGCGAAAGCGUGGGGAGCGAACAGG
rnacentral:rRNA from 1 species